rnacentral:rRNA from 1 species
UACGUAGGGGGCAAGCGUUGUCCGGAUUUAUUGGGCGUAAAGCGCUCGCAGGCGGCUCGAUGCGUCGUGCGUGAAACACCCCGGCUCAACUGGGGAGGGUCGUGCGAUACGGGCGAGCUUGAGGCCGGUAGGGGGAAGCGGAAUUCCGGGUGUAGUGGUGGAAUGCGUAGAGAUCCGGAGGAACACCAGCGGCGAAGGCGGCAUCCUGGACUGGUACUGACGCUCAGGAGCGAAAGCGUGGGGAGCGAUCCGG